rnacentral:rRNA from 1 species
CCUACGGGAGGCAGCAGUGGGGAAUAUUGCACAAUGGGGGAAACCCUGAUGCAGCGACGCCGCGUGAGUGAAGAAGUACUUCGUUAUGUAAAGCUCUAUCAGCAGGGAAGAAAAUGACGGUACCUGAGUAAGAAGCCCCGGCUAACUACGUGCCAGCAGCCGCGGUACUACGUAGGGGGCAAGCGUUAUCCGGAUUUACUGGGUGUAAAGGGAGCGUAGACGGCAGUGCAAGUCUGGAGUGAAAGGCGGGGGCUCAACCCCCGGACUGCUCUGGAAACUGUACGGCUGGAGUGCAGGAGAGGUAAGUGGAAUUCCUAGUGUAGCGGUGAAAUGCGUAGAUAUUAGGAGGAACACCAGUGGCGAAGGCGGCUUACUGGACUGUAACUGACGUUGAGGCUCGAAAGCGUGGGGAGCAAACAGGAUUAGAUACCCUUGUAGUC